rnacentral:rRNA from 1 species
AACGAACGCUGGCGGCAGGCCUAACACAUGCAAGUCGAGCGAGGACUUCGGUCCUAGCGGCGGACGGGUGAGUAACGCGUGGGAACGUGCCCUUUGGUACGGAAUAGCCCCGGGAAACUGGGAGUAAUACCGUAUGGUGUCUUCGGACUAAAGAUUUAUCGCCAAAGGAUCGGCCCGCGUUGGAUUAGGUAGUUGGUGGGGUAAUGGCCUACCAAGCCGACGAUCCAUAGCUGGUUUGAGAGGAUGAUCAGCCACACUGGGACUGAGACACGGCCCAGACUCCUACGGGAGGCAGCAGUGGGGAAUCUUAGACAAUGGGGGCAACCCUGAUCUAGCCAUGCCGCGUGAGUGAUGAAGGCCCUAGGGUUGUAAAGCUCUUUCAGCUGGGAAGAUAAUGACGGUACCAGCAGAAGAAGCCCCGGCUAACUCCGUGCCAGCAGCCGCGGUAAAGUAGACGU